UGUUCCUGGGAAAUUUUACACUUGUC
rnacentral:piRNA from 1 species